rnacentral:rRNA from 1 species
GACGAACGCUGGCGGCGUGGAUUAGGCAUGCAAGUCGAACGGUAUCAUCCUUUCGGGGGUGAGAGAGUGGCGAACUGGUGAGUAACACGUAGGUUAUCUACCCUCAAGACGGGGACAACCCAGGGAAACUUGGGCUAAUACCGGAUGUGAGCAACUUUUAGUUGUUUGAAAGGUGGCGUAAGCUGUCGCUUGGGGAUGAGCCUGCGUCCUAUUAGUUAGUUGGUGAGGUAACGGCUCACCUAGGCAAUGAUAGGUAGGCGGCCUUAACGGGUGGUCGCCCACACUGGGAUUGAGAUACGGCCCAGACUCCUACGGGAGGCAGCAGUCGAGAAUAGUCUACAAUGGUCGGAAGACUGAUAGUGCGACGCCCGCGUGAACGAUGAAUCCCUUCGGGGUGUAAAGUUCUUUUAUAUGUGAGCAGUGCUUCUUAUAUUAACAGUAUGGGGAGAGAGAUAUUAGCAUAUGAAUAAGCAACGGCUAACUCCGUGCCAGCAGCCGCGGUAAACUCGU